rnacentral:tRNA from 1 species
GGUAAAAAGGCUGAAGGUUUAAGCGGCGGUUUGUAGUCCCGAUAAAAUAGGUUAGAAUCCUUUUUUUACCA